rnacentral:rRNA from 1 species
UGGGUAACCUGCCUCAAAGAGGGGAAUAGCCUCCCCGAAAGGGAGAUUAAUACCGCAUAAUAUGUUUAAGUCGCAUGACUUUAACAUCAAAGGAUUUUCUUUUAGAAAUUCCACUUUGAGAUGGACCCCGCGGCGCAUUAGCUAGUUGGUGAGGUAACGGCUCACCAAGGCAACGAUGCGUAGCCGACCUGAGAGGGUGAUCGGCCACAUUGGAACUGAGACACGGUCCAGCCUCCGUAGGAGG